AGGCCUGUCAUCGUCCAUACCUUCAGGGGACCAUUAUGAAGCAUUGAGUGCUCAAGAUAAACCAAACUUGUAUGAGGAAUUAGAAAAUGAGAAAGGACAAACGGAAAAAGUUUAUGUCAAUGAAGCAUUCUGAACUAAAUGUCACAACAUGAUUUUGUAUUGAAAACUAUGUAAUUUCAAUGUUUUAAUCAAAAUUCAAAAUGGCUUGAUGCUUGUUGGUGGAUGAUGUGGCCUGUUGAACAGUGUGGUACAUUUGGCGAUACCUAUUAUCCAAUGUUAUGUACUAUUAUUACUAGAUAUUAUAUCUAAUCAUUUUAAGCGUGUUGAUUGAAACUGAAGAAUAUAAGGAAAUGGAAAUAGUGAAAUACUUUCCAUGCACAUUAUCAUGAAAUUAUCAUAUAUUUAUUUUUGGAGAUAUAUUCUAUUUAAAGGUAUAUUUUUGUUAUUUGAUUAAUAUAUAAAUAAACAAUUACAUACA